GCCCGGAUGGUGAAAUCGGUAGACACAAGGGACUUAAAAUCCCUCGCCGCGAGGCAUGCGGGUUCGAUUCCCGCUCCGGGCACCA
rnacentral:tRNA from 2 species